GUAUUAUGUGGCAGGCAAGAGAGCUAGCACUUCCCUUAACUAGGAUGAAAGAAGCUCUAUGAUCUAUAAAACAUACAUACAGUUAAGGAAUUGCCACCUACUUUAUGUCAUCCUUCCAUGAUUUUUA